AACGAACGCUGGCGGCAGGCCUAACACAUGCAAGUCGAACGCCCUAGCAAUAGGGAGUGGCAGACGGGUGAGUAACGCGUGGGAAUAUCCCCCUCAGUACGGAAUAGCCCAGGGAAACUUGGAGUAAUACCGUAUACGUCCGUGAGGAGAAAGAUUUAUCGCUGAGGGAUUAGCCCGCGUAGGAUUAGCUAGUUGGUGAGGUAAUGGCUCACCAAGGCGACGAUCCUUAGCUGGUCUGAGAGGACGAUCAGCCACACUGGGACUGAGACACGGCCCAGACUCCUACGGGAGGCAGCAGUGGGGAAUAUUGGACAAUGGGCGCAAGCCUGAUCCAGCCAUGCCGCGUGAGUGACGAAGGCCUUAGGGUUGUAAAGCUCUUUUGGCGGGGACGAUAAUGACGGUACCCGCAGAAUAAGCCCCGGCUAACUUCGUGCCAGCAGCCGCCGUAAAAC
rnacentral:rRNA from 1 species